AACGCAAGUUGCGCCCGAAGCCUCCAGGCCGAGGGCACGCCUGCCUGGGUGUCACACAUCGUUGCCCCAGCGCCAUUCCCCUGUGCUGGGUUUGGGGCGGGGCGAAUGCUGGCUUCCCGUGAGCCCUGCCUUGCGGUUGGCUGAAAACCGAGCCCGUGGUGGAGAGCACCACGAUUCCUGGUGGCUGAGCGAAAUCUCGAGACCGAUCGUGCGUGUCUCUCCGUCGACGAAGGGCUCCACGGCCCAUGGGCGUCAUCCGGUCGCCCACAACGGGACCUCAGGUCAGGCGGGGCUACCCGCUGAGUUUAA
rnacentral:misc_RNA from 1 species